rnacentral:rRNA from 1 species
GACGAACGCUGGCGGCGCGCUUAACACAUGCAAGUCGAACGGAAAGGCUUUGACUUUGCGGGGCGCUCGAGAGGCGAAGGGGUGUGUAACACGAGAGUAGACUGACCUUGAAUUUGGGAUCAUUUCAGGAAACUGGGGCCUAUGCAGGCUAGGAGUACUACCUACAAGGUGGGGGAUGGAACGUUUCGGCGGUGGGGAAUAGACUCGCGGCUUAUCAGCUUGGUGGUGGGGUAGUGGCUUACCAAGGGUUUGACGGGUAGCCGGCCUGGGAGGGUGACCGGCCAGAUUGGGUCAGAGAUACGGCACAGACUCCUACGGGAGGGAACGGUGGGGAAGAGUGUACUAUGGGCGGAAGCCUGAUGCAGCAACGCCGCGUGCGGGAUAACGGCCUUCGGGUUGUGAACCGCUUUCGCCUGUGACGAAGCGUGAGUGACGGUAAUGGGUAAAGAAGCACCGGCUAACUACGUG